AGACGAGGGAGCGCGCGCGCGCUCCCGGACAGUUCUCCGCAGCCGCUCGCCCGAGCCUUCUACUUGGCCAACACAGCUGCCUCUACCACCUCGCGUGCCCGGUUCGUGGGCUUUCAGUUACCAAGCAUGUCCUGAAGAUGAAGAUACUCUCAGCCUAACGUCUCCAAGCAAAUAUUGAUUCAGCAGUAUCCCCAGGCAAAGCCACACCAUAUAUCAGUGAACAGAGAAACAACUGCCCUUCUCCGGGCCCCUGUCUGAGAAGCUGGAGCAUCAGCCCUGGAGCUCUCCGGAGCAGUUUCCUUGCUCACUGUCCCCAGCUGGACACAGGUUGGUCAGAUCUACUCCCGUUCCCACUCUGCCCCCAUCUCUCCCCUCUGUGCUUGCCAAGCAGUAAGUAGACUGCUCAUAUUUGUGGAAUGAGUAGUGUGUUGGUGUCCCCAGUAGCAGACCUGGCAAUGAGACUUCAUGUGCCAUAUGAAGGGAGUGUUCCAGGGGACAAAAAUAAGGGAAUAGAGAUAGGACAAGGGUGGGUGAGGGGGCAGAGCACUGGAGCUGGGCUGUCCCCCUCACCUCCACUCCUAAACGUCAGACUGCAGGGUUCUUCAAGGAACACAGAAACUCAGGCAUGUGUGCCGAAGCAAUGGCAGGAAGCAAUGAGGACCUGGGUGGGGUGCCUGUGUCUGUCAGUACAACUGUCUGGCUUUCUACUGCUGUGAUGAAAUACUGUGACCAAAAGCCAAUGGGUAGGAAAGAGGUUAUUUUACAUUACAGCUUCUAAAUCCACCACUGUGGGAAAGCCAGGGCAGAAACCUAGAGCAGAAACCAAGGAAACACUGCCUACUGGCCUGUUCUCGUGGCUUGCCCAUCCUGUUUUCUUAUACCAUCUAGGACCACUUACCCAUGGGUGCUACGGCCCACAGUGAGAUGGACCCUCCCACAUCAAUUAUCAGUCAAGAAAAUGUCCCACAGAGCAAUUCUGUGGAGGGACAUUUUUUUUUCAGUUGAUGGUCUCUUCCCAACUGAUUCUAGCUGUGUUGAGAUGACAUAAAUAGUAGCCAGCAUACCAUCCAAACAGACAGCAAAGCCAAGGCAGCCUUCAGGCCUGCUGUCACUUCAUCCUGUCCUUCCUAGGACCAGAGGGGAUACUGCCUGCUCAGGAAAGCCAAGAGGAGCCUGCCUCGACUGAAAUGUAAAAAGUACACUGUGCAUAUGGAAAGCAUUAUUGUGUUUCACUGUGUAUCGCCAGAUUCUUCUUGCAAAACAUUGAAGCUUAGCUCAUAAUUUGGUGAUAAAAUAUUGAUUAUUUAUCCACAGCCGCAUGCAGAGGUCCAAAGCACGUAAACAGGAUACCCACCCUGCAUUAUCUUAUAUUUUAAGUCAAUAUGAAGAUGGACAUUCUACCCCUGAGACCAAUUUCGAUCAAAUACUUUUGUCAAUAAAAAGAUACUAAUG
ensembl:lincRNA Gm2694 predicted gene 2694